rnacentral:rRNA from 1 species
GGGCCCGCACAAGCGGUGGAGUAUGUGGUUUAAUUCGAUGCAACGCGAAGAACCUUACCAGGGUUUGACAUCCUGCGAAUUUCUGGGAAACCGGAAAGUGCCUUCGGGAGCGCAGUGACAGGUGGUGCAUGGCUGUCGUCAGCUCGUGUCGUGAGAUGUUGGGUUAAGUCCCGCAACGAGCGCAACCCACGUCUUUAGUUGCCAGCGAUUCGGUCGGGGACUCUAGAGAGACUGCCUGCGCAAGCAGAGAGGAAGGCGGGACGACGUCAAAUCAUCAUGGCCUUUAUGCCCAGGGGCUACACACGUGCUACAAUGGUAAGGACAAAGGGGCAGCGAGCCGGCGACGGUCAGCGAAUCCCAAAAACCUUAUCUCAG